AACUUUGCGCAGCGGCGAUAUCGUAACCAAUGAGGUUUAUCCGAGGUGCGAUUAUUGCUAGUUGAAAACUAAUACCAAUACCCCGCCAUGUGCACGUGAAAUACCGUGCGCUAGUGCAAUUUUUGAAUGUCCUUACGGGGA
rfam:Asian citrus Psyllid, Diaphorina citri - Florida Strain, whole genome shotgun sequence.